CAGCAGCUCCGGGGGCACGCCCACCCGGGCCUCUGAGGCUCCGUGAGAAAGGCAGCACUUCCAAGGCGGGUAAGAUGGGCCCUGAGAAAGGGACGCCUUACAACGGUGCAAGCCGUAGAGACGCAGGAGCCAGGGGUAGGAGGUUGUCCUGGGAGACAGCGCGGGACCCUGCAUCACCUUGUUUCGGUGGCAUGGUUUGCGGGUUGGCUAGCUGGAGGGCCAAAGGACAGGCGGCUAGGAAGAGAAUUCCC
rnacentral:lncRNA from 1 species